rnacentral:rRNA from 1 species
GUAACUGACGCUGAGGCGCGAAAGCGUGGGGAGCAAACAGGAUUAGAUACCCCUGGUAGUCCACGCCGUAAACGAUGGAUACUAGGUGUAGGAGGUAUCGACCCUUUCUGUGCCGCAGUUAACACAAUAAGUAUCCCACCUGGGGAGUACGACCGCAAGGUUGAAACUCAAAGGAAUUGACGGGGGCCCGCACAAGCAGUGGAGUAUGUGGUUUAAUUCGAAGCAACGCGAAGAACCUUACCAGGACUUGACAUCCCUCUGACCGCCUUAGAGAUAAGGCUUUCCUUCGGGACAGGGGUGACAGGUGGUGCAUGGUUGUCGUCAGCUCGUGUCGUGAGAUGUUGGGUUAAGUCCCGCAACGAGCGCAACCCCUAUUGCCGGUUGCCAUCAUUAAGUUGGGCACUCCGGCGAGACUGCCGGCGACAAGUCGGAGGAAGGUGGGGAUGACGUCAAAUCAUCAUGCCCCUUAUGUCCUGGGCUACACACGUACUACAAUGGCCGUGACAACGAGAAGCGAAAUCGCGAGGUGGAGCAAAUCUCCAAACACGGUCCCAGUUCAGAUUGCAGGCUGCAACGGAACCUGCAUGAAGGCGGAAUUGCUAGUAAUAGGAGAUCAGCA